rnacentral:tRNA from 1 species
GCUUGGAUAGCUCUGUUGGUUAGAGUGUGAUGCUGAUGAUGCCAAAGUUGCAGGUUCAAUCCCUGUAUGGGACA